UACGUAGGGGGCUAGCGUUGUCCGGAAUCAUUGGGCGUAAAGAGCGUGUAGGCGGCCCGGUAAGUCCGCUGUAAAAGUCAAAGGCUCAACCUUUGAAUGUCAGUGGAUACUGCCGGGCUAGAGUCCGGAGGAGGCGAGUGGAACUCCUGGUGUAGCGGUGAAUGCGCAGAUAUCAGGAGGAACACCAGCGGCGAAGGCGG
rnacentral:rRNA from 1 species